CGCGCGGCGCUCUACCUGCGGCUGUGGCGCUCUCGAUGGUGUGGCGGAGGUCUGUGGGUGGGGAGUCCCGUGACGGGUCGGUGCGCGGUGACGGCGGCCGGUAGGGGGCCGGCAGGGCCGGGCUUGAGAGUGGCUGAGGAGGAUGGCGGAUCCCUCACGAAAUUCUAAUAAGGAGCAUUUGACCAUCUGAUCUCUUAAAGUUGAACCUUUCAGUAUCAGGAUUAGGAACAAGUGUCUUCAGAAUCAAUAUGUAGCAAAUGGGUAUCACUCAACUGAAGUUGGUCCCUCAAGCCAACAUAUUUGUGUUUUAAGGAUCCUUGCACUUUCAGCAGUGAAUUAAUUGUUUUUUUUGUUAACUGAAAAAAGUGGAUUUCAUGUGGUGCUUGCUAAACGUUGAAUCACCAUGAGUAGUAAUCUAGGAAAAGAAAAAGACUGUAAAGAGAAGGAUCCAAAAGUCCCAUUGGCAAAGGAACGGGAGAAGGAGGCUAAGGCCUCUGGAGGAUUUGGAAAAGAAAGCAAAGAAAAAGAGCCUAAGACCAAAGGGAAAGAUGCCAAAGAUGGAAAGAAGGACUCCAGUAGUGCACAGCCUGGGGUAGCUUUUUCAGUAGACAACACAAUAAAACGACCUAAUCCAGCCCCAGCCGCUCGCAAAAAAUCCAGCAAUGCUGAGGUGAUCAAAGAGCUAAAUAAAUGCCGAGAAGAGAAUUCAAUGCGCUUGGACUUGUCCAAGAGGUCUAUACACAUGCUUCCAUCAUCUAUCAAAGAGUUGACACAGUUAACGGAACUUUAUUUAUACAGUAACAAAUUGCAGUCUCUACCUGCAGAGGUGGGCUGUCUUGUGAAUCUGAUGACACUGGCUUUAAGUGAGAACUCACUUACCAGUUUGCCUGACUCUCUUGAUAACUUGAAGAAACUGCGCAUGCUUGAUCUACGGCAUAACAAACUUAGAGAAAUUCCUUCAGUGGUGUACAGGCUAAAUUCUCUUGCCACUCUUUAUCUACGCUUUAAUCGUAUAACUACUGUGGAAAAGGAUAUCAAAAGCUUGUCAAAACUCACCAUGCUUAGCAUACGAGAGAACAAAAUCAAGCAACUACCUGCUGAAAUUGGCGAGUUGUGUAACCUCAUAACUCUGGAUGUAGCGCACAAUCAGCUUGAACAUCUUCCAAAGGAGAUUGGAAAUUGCACACAAAUCACCAACCUUGACUUGCAGCACAAUGAGCUCUUGGACCUACCAGAAACCAUAGGAAAUUUGUCCAGUCUAAGUCGUCUUGGCCUAAGGUACAAUAGACUGUCAGCAAUCCCCAAGUCUUUAGCAAAAUGUAGUGAACUUGAUGAACUGAAUUUGGAGAACAACAACAUUUCCACUUUACCAGAGGGUCUUUUAUCGAGUCUUGUGAACCUGACUAGCUUAACAUUGGCCAGGAACUGCUUCCAGUCAUAUCCAGUGGGUGGCCCAUCACAGUUCUCCACAAUCUACUCUCUCAACAUGGAACACAACCGCAUCAGCAAAAUCCCGUUUGGAAUUUUCUCUAGAGCUAAAGUGUUAAGUAAGCUGAACAUGAAGGACAAUCAGCUAACCUCACUCCCCUUGGACUUUGGGACUUGGACCAGCAUGGUGGAACUGAAUUUAGCCACUAAUCAGCUCACAAAAAUUCCUGAGGAUGUGUCUGGGCUAGUUUCCCUUGAGGUUCUUAUCUUGUCAAAUAAUCUUCUGAAGAAACUUCCCCAUGGCAUUGGAAACCUACGGAAAAUAAGAGAGUUGGAUCUAGAGGAGAACAAACUGGAAUCCUUGCCAAAUGAAAUUGCUUACCUUAAGGAUCUGCAGAAAUUGGUCUUGACUAAUAAUCAGUUGACCACCCUUCCAAGAGGAAUUGGUCACCUCAUCAAUCUGACACAUCUUGGGCUAGGAGAGAAUCUUCUCACACACCUUCCUGAAGAAAUUGGUAAGGUGCUAUUUCUGAUAAAUAUAAAUAUACAGGAUGGUUAAGCAAUAACCUCCAAAUACCUCUGGGAGACACACAAUGAUAGAAAUUUAUUGUGUUCAUAAACAAAGACCACAAAAUUCAAGGAGAAACUUUUAUUGUGAGGAGGUAUGCACCCCUACUUGAAAUUUCUGCCAGCACUACAAUAUUACAUGCUUUCUCUAUUUUCAUGAGAGAAAUGACUUAGCUUUUUCUGAUUAAUUACCCUGUGUGUGAAGAACUUGUAGCGGGAAACUGACUUGGAUUAAGUAGUUUCCUUCUCUAUCAAGCUCUUCACACACUGUGCUAAAGAUAAAUUUAUAGGAUUGUGUAGUGCCAGUGUUCGACAACUUUCCUUUCCAACCAUUUCCCUGUAAAGACUCAUUAGGAAAGGAAUCAGACUAAUCCUAUGACUUUUCUUUCUGGCCACGCUGCAGAAGUAAAAUUUUAUGUGAGGGAAGGGGCUGCAGAGGGAAUCUAGGAGAGGCACUUUCCUUCUACAAAUCUUUCCAUUUGCAUAUCAUCACACUCUGCUUGCCUUGCUGAGACAAGAGAAGAGGAGAAGGAAAUACAGGGAAAGGAGAGGAAAGAGAAUAAAAGAGACCUAAACACCAUGAAAAUGAGUGAGAAAUACAGGGCCACAUGGCUAGAGAAGAGGGAAACAGAGAUACUUCAGCAGUGUCAGCACCUCCAGUGAAACACCAUCACAGCCAGUGCAAAUCUUGCACAUGUUGGAGUGAGAAGGGCCAAAUCUCAGCUAAACCUGGCCCUAUGCAUUCUAGAUCAUAAAUUAGUUGAGCUCAGGUGCCUUAUACUCUAAUCUAUAGAGUUAAAAUAAAUUACUAUGUUUAAAACACUCUAGUGAGUGGUAGAGACUGGUUAUUAAAGUUUUCAAAUUUGAUUGUCUCAUGUAGAAUUAUCAGAUAGCGCUCAGAGUUCUGCUCAACUCUGCCCUUUCUGCUUUGCAGUCUCUCACCCUGGCUCCCCAAUCUUCCUCAGAUUCUAUAUGUGGUUCCCCUGCUUGUACUCUGAACCUUUCGCACGCUCUCCCAGUCCACCAGUGGUCCUGAAACCUUUCCUUCCCCAACAUGCUCUUUAACCCUCUAACACGCCUGUCACCCUCUCUGCUUCUCCUCUAGGUCUUUGAUGUUUCACCAAGAGGUGAGUGUUGUAAGGCAGCAGGAGUAUUCAGUAGAGAUUUACAUAUUCUCAUUACUGACUCUGCGACUGUGAACAGUUACAUGAUAGAAAAAAAUUCUGCUAAUUGUAACUACAGUAAUACAAAUAAUAGUAAAACAAUUCUAACAAUACCUACUUCCAGUUAGCAUUGAAACUCUUAUUGGUAUUUUGCGGUAUGUGUCCAAGUACAUCAUUUUCCACAUGCCACUCACUCCCUUAAAGAAUUACUCUGUGUAAACCUGUCUUUGCUCAGUUAAUGCUCCUGCCAAUGUCCCCAAUGCAACAUCACUGGGAAGCUUUGACAAACAAAUGGUGCAAUACUAUCCUGCCAUGAACAAGUGUUGUAUUUUUUUUUUUUUUUUUACCAUUUUUAUUAAUCUAAAGUGGAGCUGGCCCUCAGAACAGGAGCAGUGCUUAUAGUAUUAGUAUAGGUGAUCUGUAGGGACUACAAUGAAAGGAUCUAUAUACAGGGAUGUUCAGUUAUCUCGUUUGGAUUUUGGCCUCCAAGAUAGGUAAGCAUGGGCAAGAAAGAGAAUAGGAAAUGUUACUCUGCUCUCUAGCACAUCAUAUUGGUUGAUUUGUGUAGAAAUCACACUUUGAAUGGAAACCUUUCAGUGACCAUCACUACAGCGAAUUGAGCUGAAUGUGACUCUUACUUAGACACCUGUGGGCAAGGAGGUUGCUAUGCUUGAAAAUAGAAGUGGACAUGGGUUGUUUCCAUGGUAGAGAAUUUCCAACUGAAUUUCCCUUGUGAGUUUAAAAGAUUCUACUUAUAUGUUAUAAGCUUACCAUGUGAAACAAAAGGGAUAUUUUACUUUUAUAUUUAUGAAUGUUUUAUUUUAACCAGGUACACUGGAGAAUCUGGAAGAACUGUAUUUGAAUGACAAUCCCAAUCUGCACAGCCUUCCCUUUGAGCUGGCCCUCUGCAGCAAACUGUCAAUAAUGAGUAUUGAGAACUGCCCACUCAGCCACCUUCCACCUCAGAUCGUUGCUGGGGGACCCUCCUUCAUCAUUCAGUUCCUAAAAAUGCAGGGACCAUAUCGUGCCAUGGUCUGAUGUAAAUUGGAUUGUCCCAUACACUGUACAAAAUACAAACUGCAUUAAUGUUGUCAUUAUAUAUAAUAUAAUAUACAUAUAAUAUUAUAUUAUAUAUAAAAAUAUAUAAAUAAUAUAAAAAGGCAAAUUUAAGACUGCAUUAUGUGUUUCUGCUAAUAGAGGAAUCAUAGCCAUUUAGAUUUUUUUUAUUCUGUAAAAAUGCUUGUCUAAGUUUUCUUUGCUGAAUUUGGUGGAUGUUUGUCUGAGUAAUCUGGAAAUGCCAGUUCACUUUAAGCAAUUGCCAACAAAUUCAAAAGUUGUUAAAUUUAAGGGAAAAGAGUAGUUUUUACUUAGAUCUACUUUCAGUUAGCAAAAAAUGCGCAAUCUUUUAUGGUGAACUUUUUUCUUUUCUGUUUUCCUCCCUCUCCUAUGUGUCAAAACCUGGUAGGGUCACACAUCCUGAAGUUGGUGGGAUUUUCUUUAAUUUAUUUUGAGAUUUGAAACAAGCGGUGUUUUUAUAUUGUUUACAGUCAGAGUAAAUCACUGGAUUUUGUUUUGUUUUGAUUUGCUCUGUUUUAAUCAAUCUAGAAUUUAUAUGCUUCUGUUGAAGAAUUUUUAUCAGCUGGUUUGUAUACUAAAAAUAUUUACUCAUCAAAACAACUGGUAGGUGGAAAAGAUGCAGUCAAAAAAGCUUGAAUUCUUGUAAGUCUUGCUUCCCUGAGUUAUCAGUUGUGGGCAUAACAUAUCUGAACUGAGCCUUUUGUGGUUGGUCUUUUCUAGCACAAGUAACCUUUUCAGAUUGGUCUCAGUGAAGAGCAGUUUUUGUUUUGUGAAGUUACAGAUUCAUAAGGUCUAACAGUACAGUUGAAUGGCAAGGAAAUAAUAUAUAUUAUCUUUUUUUGUUAUAAUGUUGGGUCAUAAACGACAACAGGCAAUUUUAAGGAUUCCUCAUAGUCCUUGUACAAUAAAUGAAUGUCUUACUUUUAAACACUGCAAUAUAUGUAAGUUUUAAGGUUGGUUAACAACGUACUAUGGUUUUAUAUCUUGACUUGCCUUGUACCUCCUUCCAUUAUGGAACUUCUGUGUCCAAGCACAAUAGCUCCACACUGUGCUGUUUUGCUGCUGAACUAAAUGCACUUUUCCCCACAGCUGGGGCACUUGCUUCAAAAUAUUCAGUUCAGUACCACAUCUGUUUUUUUAACCUCAUCCUGUCAAUUUCAGUAUUAAAGAACGUUCUGUUAAAAAGAGGCACCUUUUCAUUUGUGCACAGAUGUUGAUCGCUCAGUAGAAAUAUUGUACGUGGUUCACAUGCGAUUUUAUUUGAAUUUGCUUGACUGCUUAGAAAGCUAAAGAUGCUGCAGUGAAAUAGAUACUAUCACUCCACUUGCAAGAUCAGUUUAAGAUGAUCUUUUCUUUAAGAAGAUGGAAACUCUAAAGGCAGUUACAUUUCAGAUGUUGACUAAACUGUCCAAUUUAUACUCAUUAUAAUGGAAUUGCUGCUGGACUAUUGUGACUUAGAGAUGACUAUCUUUUGAAUGAAAUUAAAUCAAAUGAUGUCAGAAAAAAUCUAUUUCCCGUGCAGAAGUUUGGGGAGUAUAAUUUUUGGCUUUUAGACAUGCUUAAUUUUAUGUAUUGCCUUUGGUCUGGUUUUUCCAGCAUUAACAGUAACUUCGCAUUCUGUUUUGUCUGAUGUUUUUUUAUUAACGAGGAACAGCUUUUAAAUGGAAGGCAGGUGGAGAUAUAAAACCGUAGAGGGCUCAAACGUGCUGUAAAACUAUUGUAGAUGUCACUGGAUUUUACCAAGUAAUGUCCGUUCCCCUCCCUUGUUUUUUACAUCUACUGUAGCUUUUCAGUUUAGAUUUUAGAUUAUAAAAGAAACUAGUUUAUUACAGCUCUGCCUGGAGUUAAUCUUUCUCAGCAGUAAUAUGUUAAAAUAUGAAGAUGCUGAAAUGUGUAGCUUUGAAGACUGUAAUCUAACUUCUGAAUUUACUGCUGAAACCUACUUCUUGCUCCCUCAGUUCACUUGGGAAAACAGUUUCUGAUUAAUAUGAUUCCUUAAAACAAAGGUGGCUGCCCCUGUGUCUUAAGCAUAUCAGUUGUGUUCCCCGUUUGCACCCCUAAUCUCCCAUUUUUGAUGAGACAAUUUGCCCUUUAAUUUAUAAGAUAACUUGUGUCUCGAUCUGUUACAAUAGAGCAAGAUUUUAGGUGUGUAAUACAGUAGGAAACUAGCCCAAGAGGAGUCAUUUUAGGUGCUUCUUAAAAGUUUCAAGUAAUAGUGCAUCUAAUAGCAGGCUGCCUCCUCCUGAAGCGUUUCCAUUGCCACUGCUAGACAGUCAGGUAUAGAUGCUGUUGGGCUGCAUUUAUGGAAUUAAGAUUGUUUAGUAUGUAAAUAUUUUGAUCUGUUUUAUUCAUCUUGUUAAGGUACAUGGUUAAUGACUGUACAAUUGGAGCUGAUCCCCUCUUCCAAAAACUUGGUUGGAUGAGAAGUUGGCUUACCAAAAAUACUUUUUACACUCUUAAAAAAAAAUAAAAUAAAAAAAACCCCGUCUCCAUUACACUUGUAGGAAUAAAGUAAUGAAUUAAAACAUAGCUAUGUUAAAAACAGGAUAUUUUUCAAUGUAUCCUUGUGCUAAAAUAGUAGCUUCAAUGCCAAAUACUCCUGAGUCCUGUUUGGGCGUUUAAUUUUGUACUUUUGAAGUAAAUACUUCUUGCAGUGUCUAGAGGGAGUGUGAGUAAAACAGCGUGAGAUAUUAAGUUCUGGUGCAAAGAAUUAACUCAAAGAAUUCAAGAAGUUUCCUUAUAAAAUGAGUUAUUUAAUUUUGGUGUUAAAUGGGUGAGUAUCAUUGCUUGGAAUAAGCUUUAAUGUAUAAAUGUUAUUAGUCCCUCAGCUAUUUAUCUGACACCUUGAUCAUUUAAAACAAUUCUAUAACCUGACAUAACUUUUUUUAAUUUUCCAGGAUGUUGCAUUGUGCAUCUGUUAACUAAGUACAGUUUUUAGGUUGUCUUUAAUGCCAAAUGCCAUUGAGUGGGGUUUGUAUAUAUGUUUAAGAAUUUUGGAUCAUGCUGAUUAAAUUAAAAAUGAGAAGAAAGAACUCAGUCCUGAAAAAUAUAUGGUAUUGAAGCAUGAGCAAGAUGGAGUAAUAAGGUUCUAAGGGGUACUUUUUAAGACUAGGAUGGUCAAAGGGGUGAGCCAGAUUUCUGUUAAAACUUUUGUCCCUUGUGAUACUGUUCUGGGUAGUGCUAUCUCUGAAAUAAAUAAGAAGAGAUUAUAAAAAGUGUGCCAAUCUUUAGAAAUCUGGGUGCAAAUCAAAUCAUGACCUCUAUUGCCUGCCUGUGGAAGUAUCAGCACUUGUAUUUAUAGGACACUCAUGAACUAUGCCUUUACUAACAAAAGCAAAAUACCAUGCUACAGAGUAUAGUAUUAUGGUACUCUGAUAAGUAUAAAACUGAUUAUAAGGGUUGUCUUUUUAAAAACGUUGAUUAAAUGUAAAGGAAGAAUAACUGGCAAUAUGACUUUUAGUUUUGAAACAAGUUAUAUUGUGUUUAAAGUGACUAAAUAGAAAUUUGGCUGCUAAUUCUUGGCUUUGAAAAUGCUUGGUUUUCAUAAACACUAUAAUAAUAAUGUUCCCUCUCUGGCUGCCUCACAUUUAAUUUCCUAAACAAAAACAUCUAGCUGAACACAACCUGUGCAGUUUGGUCAUAUGGUUGCAUACCUGGCCUUUUUUUAACUUGCCCGAUGCUAUUGGAAACUCUUAAAUUCAUGUUACUUUAUUUUAAAACAACUUAGUGUUGUAGAAUAUUUGACGCUUCAGUGCCUCUUUUGGUUUUAGGGUUUUUGUGCAGUUUUGUUAAUGUUGUGUAAGAAAUCAUGUGUUCAAACUUCUUGAAAGAACAAUAAAGUUUGUUCACUUAAGUGGUUUUAAAAAACAGGACGUAGAAACGUUGUCCAGCUGGUUAGCACUUGAACCCAUUGCAGCACCUGAAAAACAAAAACUUCAAGUACCAUCUUUAAUCCUGGACGUGUGCAGAAUACCUUUUUUAAUGGAAAAACUUUUAUCAGAUGUUUCUUUCUUUCCUUGUUUCUCUCUUAAGGAUCAAUACAAAAUCAUAACAUAUCAAGGGAGGACGUGUCUUUUGUAUUAGUAAGGAAUCUGAAUGCAGCAGAGUAUUUUUGUAUAGUCAAUAUUGCACCUCAAUUGUAUCUUUAAUCGGCAUGCCAGAACUUGCUUUUAAUUAGACAUACAGUUGGCAGUAAUUUGCACAACACACAAACUUAAAAGGCACAGUUAGGACAAUUACAAACAAAUGAUAGUAUCUACAAACAGUAUCUAACGGUUUUUGUUUUUAUUCUCGUGAUCAGAAGAUUUAUGUUUAUUAUUCUGAUGUUUCGGUCUUAAACAGGUCUGCACAGGAUUUUUGCUGUGGAAAAAUACCAGAUCACAUUAAUUUGUGAUCAAAAGCUAAACAAAAGUGUAAACAGUCUACAAAAAAUGUACUUUUAAUCUGAAUUAUUGUAAUGUUGAUUGUUAUGUCUAUAAUAUAAAAGAUUGCCUUGCUUUUUUAUAAAUGUCAUUCUGUAUCAAUGCAUUCAUUAUAAAUAGUAUAUUUGUAAAUGAGCUGCCACUGAGUCUUUUGAAAGUUUUCUAGUGUUAAAAUCUAACUUAACCUGGAUGUAAAUCAUACUUUCGCAGUGUCACAAAUGAUUGAGAACUGCAUUUUCAUUAUAUACCUCUUCACUCUUUUGAAGAUGUUUUUCCAAGUAAAAUAUGAAGUUUAAUGUAUACCGAUUUCAGGAAACUUAUACUUCAAAAAUUGCAUGACAGUAACUGCUCUAAACAUAAAAAUGUAAAUUGCACACCUUUAUAAAGCAAAUGUUGGUAAAACUUUUUA